UGUUGCUGGUCCUCGAAUGGGGACAUGUGCACGCUCUGUUUACACAUCCACUCACACCUGUGCACCCUCUGUAGUUUUACGGUCUGGGGGACCCUGUCUUCCUUCCGUAGUUCUACGUCUUUACACACACACUGUAAUAAAGUCUUAUGGAAUGUAUGCCGCGUCUAACGCAACACAAUACAACUUUCAGCAACGGAUCUCUUGGCUCUCGCAUCGAUGAAGAACGCAGCGAAAUGUGAUAAGUAAUGUGAAUUGCAGAAUUCAGUGAAUCAUCGAAUCUUUGAACGCACCUUGCGCCCCUUGGAUAUUCCGAGGGGCAUGCCUGUUUGAGUAUCAUGAACACCUCAACUCUCAUGGUUUGCCGUGACGAGCUUGGACCUUGGGGGUUUUGCUGGCCUGUGGUCGGCUCCUCUCAAAUGAAUCAGCCUCCCGGUGUUUGGUGGCAUCACGAGUGUGAUAACUAUCUACGCUCGCGGUUGUCCACCAGGUAACCUUUGGUGACAAAGGUUCGCUGGAGCUCACAGAUGUCUCUCCUCAGCGAGGACAGCUUUUUAACGUUCGAUCUCAAAUCAGGUAGGACUACCCGCUGAACUUAAGCAUAUCAAUAAGCGGAGGAAAAGAAACUAACAAGGAUUCCCCUAGUAACUGCGAGUGAAGCGGGAAGAGCUCAAAUUUAAAAUCUGGCGUGCCUCUGGUCGUCCGAGUUGUAGUCUA
rnacentral:rRNA from 1 species